rnacentral:rRNA from 1 species
GACGAACGCUGGCGGCGUGCUUAAUACAUGCAAGUCGAACGGAAAGGCCCUGCUUUUGUGGGGUGCUCGAGUGGCGAACGGGUGAGUAACACGUGAGUAACCUGCCCUUGACUUUGGGAUAACUUCAGGAAACUGGGGCUAAUACCGGAUAGGAGCUCCUGCUGCAUGGUGGGGGUUGGAAAGUUUCGGCGGUUGGGGAUGGACUCGCGGCUUAUCAGCUUGUUGGUGGGGUAGUGGCUUACCAAGGCUUUGACGGGUAGCCGGCCUGAGAGGGUGACCGGCCACAUUGGGACUGAGAUACGGCCCAGACUCCUACGGGAGGCAGCAGUGGGGAAUAUUGCACAAUGGGCGGAAGCCUGAUGCAGCAACGCCGCGUGCGGGAUGACGGCCUUCGGGUUGUAAACCGCUUUCGCCUGUGACGAAGCGUGAGUGACGGCAAUGGGUAAAGAAGCACCGGCUAACUACGUG